rnacentral:rRNA from 1 species
GACGAGGGGUCCUAGCGUUGUUCGGAAUUACUGGGCGUAAAGCGCAUGUAGGUGGUUUGAAAAGUCAGGUGUGAAAGCCUCGGGCUCAACCCGAGAAGUGCAUUUGAUACUGUCAAACUUGAAUAUGGGAGAGGGUAGUAGAAUUCCUGGUGUAGUGGUGAAAUACGUAGAUAUCAGGAGGAAUACCGGUGGCGAAGGCGGCUACCUGGCCCAAUAUUGACACUGAGAUGCGAAAGCGUGGGGAUCAAACAGG